AUUUAAGUAGUUUAGUUAAAAAUAUUAAUUUGUGGAAUUAAAGAAAUAAUUUAUUAUCUUAAAUA
rnacentral:tRNA from 1 species